CAAUCAGCAGGGGAGGGGGCGAGGCCAAGGUAAGAGAGCAGCCAGCCGGCGCGCGGAAUCCGGAGGAAUUUACUGGGCUACGCUGGAACACUGACCAAUCCGCGGUCCCAGGAGUUUCACUGUGUUUACUACCGACCGAAUCUGUCACAGAAGUCUGCAGUCUCCAAAACCAACCUCCCCCAAAACAAAGCUGGACACGUGGAACGGUCGCGGACUUCUCCCGGACGCUGUCAGAAAAGAGCAAGCUCUGGGGCGGCUCCCGAGAUCCCAGGUGCCUUCGGAUGGAGAACCCGAGCCCUGAGGGAGACCGGCCGGCGUGUCCUCCUAGGGCGCCCGGCACUGGGGCAGGAAAAAGCCCUCCUUCCUCCGAGGGGUGAAGAGGAAAGAAGAAAGCUCGUAAGAGCCCUUCUGGGGCGGUUGAGGGUGGCGGUGGGGUUUGUAGGUUGGAGUGGCGCAGCUAUCCGGGAGCUCGGAGGCUUGGCUCUGGAGACAAAAGCAGGUUGGGGAAUGCCUCUGGAUUCUUUUAGGAGGAGGGAUGGAAAGAGGCGACUAUUUUUUUAAAAAGGAACAUCCCGCUGUGUCAGAACUUAACACCCAAAUAUUAUUACAGCUGAUCCGUCUCUCCAGACGUUACAGAUUGGAAAUAUUGCCCUUGGAGUUUUAUUCUUUAAAGCCUCAAUGAAGUCUGAUGGUAUAUUCUGUUCUUUAAGAUUCCCUGACAGUUAUAGCACUUACAGAUGUUUUAUUGCCAGAUUGAACCGUAAAAUAAUAAUAAAAAAUAUAUAUGGAAGGCUGACAAUAAGCCAAGCGAUGGAAGAUUUAAAACAAAUAAAGGCAGUGAAACUGAUGGAACUGAGAAGUUCUAAAGACUUAACGGUAUUCUCCCUUAAGUGUGCUCUUUUCCGUUUUUUUGUGUUCCUCCUAGGAAGUGAAUUCCUGAGGGAAUGAUCGUUUAUUUUCAUUCUUAUAUCUUCCAAAGUGCCUUGGAUAGUGUUAGAAGACAGAAUGAGGGUUUUUAAAGAUCUGGAAGGUUUUUUUGGAGUGAAAUUGGACAGUGUGUAUUAAGAAUUUUUUGAUGUAUUCAUGUUCGUUGACUCAUUAAUUCACACCCUAGGACUCCAACAAAAGGAAUCCAUCCAAAAAAGGCAGACAAAGUUUUAUGCUUAAAAAGAUCGCAAGCAACGUGGCAUGUAACAGUAAAAAAAAAUUGGGAAUAGCCUAAAUGAUCAACUAAAGGAUUGGAUGUAUAAACUCUGUGGCAACAUUUAAUGGACUAUAAUGUGAGAUUUGAGGAAAGGAGGAUACAAAAUUGAAUACAAUAAUAUAUCAAAUAUAUAAACAUAUUCACAGAGAGGAAUCUGGAAAGAAAGAAAAUAUUAACAAUGUUUGCCUUUAGGCAGGGAAGGGAUCAUGGGUACUAGAGUUGCACUCUUUAUAUUUUUCUGUAUUUUCCCCAAUAUUGGACAUCAAAAUUACAUUGGUUUGAUAAUUAUUUUUAAAUCUAAUAAAUGUUGGGAAAAAUUAAAGUAUCUGAGUAAGCUAAAUCUAUAAAGCUCCGAAUCUUUGUUUUACAAAAAGAUGCAUGGAUGAUGUGACUUAGCAGAAGCAAUGUCAAGAAACUUUGUUUAUUAACCCUAAAUAAGUUAAUUCAACAGUAAAAAUGCUUAGAAUAAAAGCACAUAUUGAUUUCAUUAGGAGAGACAUGGAGAGUAGCAUAAGGGAGAUAAUGGGUCCUCUUUGUUCUGUUACCCAGCCUUAAACUGGAGUAUUGAUACAUGUGGGAGCCCACAGUUUGAAAAGGAUCCAGAUGUAUUGGUGUAUGUCCAGCAGUAGUGGCCAGGAUGAAGAGAGACCUAGAAACAUCGGUGUGUAAAAUAGCUGAGGGGCUCAAGGAGUUGCUGAGGAGAAGAGCAGAUACAUGGAAAGUAUGAUUGGAGUAGUCAGACUUGAAGGGCUCAAGGCAGAGGAGUUGGUUGUGUUCUAUCUGGCCCUGGAGAGCAGAACUGGAACCACAGGGGAAAGCUACAGAAGACAGAUUCAGCUCCGUGUAGCAAACAACUUGUCCAAGAUGAAAAGUCUUCCUUAUAAUAAAUGAGUCGUCCAUAUCUGUAGGUAUGCAAACAGAAUCUGCAUCAGAAAUACGAAGGAAGAGAAAGGAAAAGACAGAAGGGAGAACAGGAGAGUGAGACAAACAGAGAAAGAGAGAAAGGAAUAAAAAAGAGAUGCAGGGGCCGAAGACAGGAAGAGAAAAGGUGAAGCAGAAGAAACAUUUCUAGAGUACACAGUAAGUUGCUGCAAACACACUGUGGCAUCUGAAUUGCCUUUUCAGGUCUUCAUUAGCGAUAUCUUGAAAUGCCAGCAGAUGGAGAUAUUACCCCAGGAAAAGAGGACUCUGCCUUCUCAUUCCUUACUUUCAAAAUAUGUAUCAAGUUUUCCUCUUUUGAAAAAUGAUGCUAAGAGACAACUCUGAAUUUCCAAACCAAAUUUAUAAACAAAUAUUUGUCAUAAAUUCUGCUUGUGAUUACCCUGAUUCUGAUUUAGAAGAGGUCACUAUAGUUUUUUGCAUUUUAGUCAUUGAGUAGGGCUCCAUCUUGCCCCACCCCACUAUCUAUACAUGUAUUUAUGUGUAUAUGGUGUAUAUGUGUUUUGAAUCAUUGUUAAAUAACUAAGCAACAUAGGUAUACCAUAGUCCCCUUCUCAACCGCCCUGUCAUUAACACUUCCCUUCCCCAGAGAUGACUUCUGUCACUUUGAAUUCUUGCCUGUGGUAAUUCUGGGAGUUCACUCUCUAACCUAGCUAUAAAGUAGCCAAUUCUGAGGAC